CUUUCAUUAUCACCUCAACGCUUUUCACUAUCUUCUUCGAGAUCAAAGAUCGUUAUAACACACUGAGAUUGUCUUAUCAGGUACUUGGCGUGCAAGUUGUCAAUUUGUGAUGAUAAAGUCGAGUCUGGUAUAAUUUUCAUUUGCAACUCCAGAGUUGAUCUUUGCACUGUUUCUGCUAUACUAUUUCAAGGUCUUCGAGAGACAGAUAGGUUCCCAUGAACACUCAUUGUCACCUCUCUUAUAAGACGCUUUCCCAACAACAACAUUAAAAGUGGUUGUUGGUCAUGGUUUGUGUUAGUGGCCUGUAUCAGUAAGUGGACUUUAGAGUGUUUGACAUAGUGCAAGGUGACCUAUUGAAUUUAUCAUUAAUUCCUGAAUAUCUUAUGCGAUCAUGAAUGGGACGAUAUGUUGGUUUUAACCGCAUUACUUGCAUUAUUUGACAUUUUGACAACUAAAUAUUAUGAAGUUUUUGUCAUGUAAUGUUUUAAUUCAUAAUUUUUAUAAUCAAUCUGUUGUUUUUGUUCACCUUGCUCGUGGGUGCCUUGAGUUGGACCGCAGACUCCCCUUAGGUGUUCCAAGUAGGAGUGGGGUUUGCUAUUCCUGUUUGUAAGUAGUCUUGGUAUGGAACUUCCUCCGACGUGAUGAAGACCAUAGGUACCGAACAUUGGCACCCUUGCAUAUGAAUGAAAUCAAACCAAAUUGAAGUGUUUAAUCAGAUGGCCAUGAAUCUUUUAGAAAGCAGAUGGCAAUUUCGUAUGUGAAGGAGGAAAUUCUCAAUCAAUCCAUGUUUUGCUAUGACUAUCAACAAAAAUCAAGUACAAUCACUUUGUCAUAUUGGGAUCCAUUUACUAAAGCCAGUUUUCAUACAUGAUUUAUCAUACAUUGCACUGUCGAGAUUGAAAAGCAUAAAUGGAUUGAAGAAGCAUGCGUGGCAAAUAAUAGAGGACAGAAUUUAAUUUCUUUUUUUUUUUUUUUUGUGUUAACAAGGUUAGAAUUUUUUAGUUUAUGUUACUAUGUUUUACUCAAUAAAAUAAAAGAUAACAUUUUUUUUUAAUUACAAUCUCUCUGCGCAUCGUGCGGGUAGUACAUUGUAGUUUUAUCAAUAA